rnacentral:tRNA from 1 species
GCGCGGCUGGCCCGGGGCUGCGAGCACCUGCUCCGUGCGGCCGAGCGCGGCGGCGUGGUGCUCGGGUUCGAGCCCGAGCCGGGCA